rnacentral:lncRNA from 1 species
CUCAGUGUCGGUCAGGCCGGGAAGAUCAUUCUCACCCUUCUUUACAAUCACCAGGUUGAUAACAGACAGGUCUUGGCUGACAAUGCAACCACGGACCGACUUCCUCCUACGCUCACCAUCACGCCUGCCAUACCCACGGAAGCAUGGAGUGCCUACAGAAACCAUACAAAUGCCUCAGAUAAGAACAGGUGCAAGGACGGAAAAUAACCGUAUCUCAAGUCUGGAAGCAAAAGCAGAAGUCCCAUACCCCUGUGGAGCAGAAGGCGGACACGCCCAGAAGUCAACACUCCUUGCUUCAUCGGGAAACCUUGCUUGUCACAGC